UCUAAGGAUGAAUGAAAGUAAAAUUUCAUUCUAAAUAAUAUACAUCGGUAAUGUUGACCGUCCUCAUUUCUCUUCUUAAAGUAAUGUUUCCUUCUUGUAGGGCCGGUAGCUCAGUUGGUUAGAGCACACCCUUGAUAAGGGUGGGGUCGAAAGUUCGAGUCUUUCUCGGCCCACCAUACUUAACUGGGGGAUUAGCUCAGCUGGGAGAGCGCCUGAUUUGCAUUCAGGAGGUCAGCGGUUCGAUCCCGCUAUCCUCCACCAGGAAACAUUUAGUUAUAAAAACCGUAAAUAAAUUUAAUAAUUAAUAUCAAUAUCUAUAUCCGAACAUUCGUAAUGUUAUUAGCUAAUGUUCAAAAUAAAAAUUUGAUUCAACACAGAAUUUUUUUCUG
rnacentral:tRNA from 1 species